UACGAAGGGGGCUAGCGUUGCUCGGAAUUACUGGGCGUAAAGCGCACGUAGGCGGAUUGUUAAGUUAGGGGUGAAAUCCCAGGGCUCAACCCUGGAACUGCCUUUAAUACUGGCAAUCUCGAGUCCGAGAGAGGUGAGUGGAAUUCCGAGUGUAGAGGUGAAAUUCGUAGAUAUUCGGAGGAACACCAGUGGCGAAGGCGGCUCACUGGCUCGGUACUGACGCUGAGGUGCGAAAGCGUGGGGAGCAACAGG
rnacentral:rRNA from 1 species